rnacentral:tRNA from 1 species
AGGCACGUAGCUCAGUUGGUUAGAGCACUCCUUGACAUGGUGGGGGUCGUUGGUUCGAGUCCAAUCGCGCCUACCA